rnacentral:rRNA from 1 species
UACGUAGGGGCCUAGCGUUGUCCGGAAUCAUUGGGCGUAAAGAGCUCGUAGGCGGUUCGGCAAGUCACGUGUGAAAUCUCCACGCUUAACGUGGAGGCGCCACGUGAAACUGCCGUGACUCGAGUCCGGUAGGGGAGUGUGGAAUUCCCGGUGUAGCGGUGAAAUGCGUAGAUAUCGUGGAGAACACCCGUGGCGAAGGCGGGUUUCUGGCAGACUUCUGACGCUGAGGUGCGAAAGCUAGGGGAGCGAACGGG